UACAGAGACUGCAAGCGUUAUUCGGAUUCACUGGGCGUAAAGCGCGUUCAGGCGGUUUGGCAAGUCGGGCAUGAAAUCUCUCGGCUCAACCGGGAGAGGUUGUCCGAUACUUCCAGACUUGAGGGCAGUAGAGGGUGGUGGAAUUCCGGGUGUAGUGGUGAAAUGCGUAGAUAUCCGGAGGAACACCAGUGGCGAAAGCGGCUUACUGGGUCUUUUCUGACGCUGAUGCACGAAAGCUAGGGGAGCAAACGGG
rnacentral:rRNA from 1 species